ACUCCUACGGGAGGCAGCAGUGAGGAAUAUUGGACAAUGGGCGCAAGCCUGAUCCAGCCAUGCCGCGUGCAGGAUGACGGUCCUAUGGAUUGUAAACUGCUUUUAUACAGGAAGAAACACCUCUACGUGUAGAGACUUGACGGUACUGUAAGAAUAAGGAUCGGCUAACUCCGUGCCAGCAGCCGCGGUAAUACGGAGGAUCCAAGCGUUAUCCGGAAUCAUUGGGUUUAAAGGGUCCGUAGGCGGUUUAGUAAGUCAGUGGUGAAAGCCCAUCGCUCAACGGUGGAACGGCCAUUGAUACUGCUAGACUUGAAUUAUUAGGAAGUAACUAGAAUAUGUAGUGUAGCGGUGAAAUGCUUAGAGAUUACAUGGAAUACCAAUUGCGAAGGCAGGUUACUACUAAUUGAUUGACGCUGAUGGACGAAAGCGUGGGUAGCGAACAGGAUUAGAUACCCUGGUAGCGUCGACU
rnacentral:rRNA from 1 species